rnacentral:lncRNA from 1 species
UUGUUAUUCAUGAACCAUUAAAGAUUUAUUAAAAUACGGAAAUCUGUACCAGUUUUGCUUGGUUCUUUCUCUUUUCCAGAGAUAUAGCUCAGGUUAAUGAAAUGUUUACCAACAUAGGAAUAUUAUAUUUGUUUGUAAUUUAAUUUAUAAAUGUGAAGAGUUUCAGUUCAUCUUUACUUAACUGCAGUCAUAUUGCGCAUCUUUGAGUUCAAGAGUUGAAUGUUAGUAUUUCAUCAAUGGAAGAUUGUUAUCAGGAAUAACUGGGUUGUGAUGAAUGCUUUGUAUGAUGCAAGCUUUACUAAUAAAAAAAUUCUCUGUUUUUG